rnacentral:rRNA from 1 species
AUUCCCUAGUAACUGCGAGUGAAGCGGGAAAAGCUCAAAUUUAAAAUCUGGUGGCCUUUGGCCAUCCGAGUUGUAAUUUAGAGAAGCGUCUUCCGCGCUGGACCGUGCACAAGUCUCCUGGAAUGGAGCGUCAUAGAGGGUGAGAAUCCCGUCUUUGGCACGGACUCCCGGUGCUUCUGCGAUGCGCUCUCGACGAGUCGAGUUGUUUGGGAAUGCAGCUCAAAAUGGGUGGUGAACUCCAUCUAAAGCUAAAUACUGGCGAGAGACCGAUAGCGAACAAGUACCGUGAGGGAAAGAUGAAAAGCACUUUGGAAAGAGAGUGAAACAGUACGUGAAAUUGUUGAAAGGGAAACGCUUGAAGUCAGUCGCGUCGACCGAGACUCAGCCUUGCCUCGGCUUGGUGUACUUCUCGGCCUGACGGGUCAGCAUCAAUUUUGCCCCUCAGAUAAUGGCAAGGGAAAGGUAGCACCUUUUUAGGUGUGUUAUAGUCCUCUGUCGCAUGUGAGGGGUGGGAUUGAGGAACUCAGCACGCGCCUCUGGGUGUCGGGGCCGCUUGGCCCACGUUACGUGCUUAGGAUGCUGGCGUAAUGGCUUUAAACGACCCGUCUUGAAAACACG